GGUGUCGGCUUAAGUGCCAUAACGAGCGCAACCCUUGCUCUCAGUUGCCAUCGGGUAAUGCCGGGCACUCUGUGAGGACUGCCUCCGCAAGGAGUGAGGAAGGUGGGGAUGACGUCAAAUCAGCACGGCCCUUACGUCCG
rnacentral:rRNA from 1 species